UACGAAGGGAGCUAGCGUUGUUCGGAAUCACUGGGCGUAAAGCGCACGUAGGCGGAUGUGUCAGUCAGGGGUGAAAUCCCUCAGCUUAACUGGGGAACUGCGUCUGAUACUGGAUGGCUUGAGUUUGGGAGAGGGAUGCGGAAUUCCAGGUGUAGCGGUGAAAUGCGUAGAUAUCUGGAGGAACACCGGUGGCGAAGGCGGCAUCCUGGACCAACACUGACACUGAGGAGCGAAAGCCAGGGGAGCAAACGGG
rnacentral:rRNA from 1 species